UGGCGCAGAUGAAGGGUCUCUCCCUUGGC
rnacentral:sRNA from 1 species